GACGAACGCUGGCGGCGUGCUUAACACAUGCAAGUCGAACGAGGUAGCAAUACCUAGUGGCAGACGGGUGAGUAACGCGUGGUCAACCUACCGUUGAGUGGGGGAUAACUAGCCGAAAGGUUAGCUAAUACCGCAUACGUCUCCGAGGGGCAUCCCUUGGCGAUAAAAGGAGCAAUCCGCUCGAUGACGGGACCGCGUCCCAUUAGCUAGAUGGUGGGGUAACGGCCUACCAUGGCACCGANGGGUAGCUGGUUUGAGAGAGCGACCAGCCACACUGGGACUGAGAAACGGCCCAGACUCCUACGGGAGGCAGCAGUGAGGAAUUUUCCGCAAUGGGCGCAAGCCUGACGGAGCGACGCCGCGUGUGGGAAGAAGGCC
rnacentral:rRNA from 1 species